rnacentral:rRNA from 1 species
UUAAGCGACUAAGCGUACACGGUGGAUGCCCUGGCAGUCAGAGGCGAUGAAGGACGUGCUAAUCUGCGAAAAGCGUCGGUAAGGUGAUAUGAACCGUUAUAACCGGCGAUGUCCGAAUGGGGAAACCCAGUGCAAUUCGUUGCACUAUCGUUAACUGAAUACAUAGGUUAACGAGGCGAACCGGGGGAACUGAAACAUCUAAGUACCCCGAGGAAAAGAAAUCAACCGAGAUUCCCCCAGUAGCGGCGAGCGAACGGGGAGCAGCCCAGAGUCUGAAUCAGCUUGUGUGUUAGUGGAACGGUCUGGAAAGUCCGACGGUACAGGGUGAUAGUCCCGUACACCAAAAUGCACAGGUUGUGAACUCGAAGAGUAGGGCGGGACACGUGGUAUCCUGUCUGAAUAUGGGGGGACCAUCCUCCAAGGCUAAAUACUCCUGACUGACCGAUAGUGAACCAGUACCGUGAGGGAAAGGCGAAAAGAACCCCGGCGAGGGGAGUGAAAAAGAACCUGAAACCGUGUACGUACAAGCAGUGGGAGCACCUUCGGGUGUGACUGCGUACCUUUUGUAUAAUGGGUCAGCGACUUAUAUUCUGUAGCAAGGUUAACCGUAUAGGGGAGCCGCAGGGAAACCGAGUCUUAACUGGGCGUUAAGUUGCAGGGUAUAGACCCGAAACCCGGUGAUCUAGCCAUGGGCAGGUUGAAGGUUGGGUAACACUAACUGGAGGACCGAACCGACUAAUGUUGAAAAAUUAGCGGAUGACUUGUGGCUGGGGGUGAAAGGCCAAUCAAACCGGGAGAUAGCUGGUUCUCCCCGAAAGCUAUUUAGGUAGCGCCUCGUGAAUUCAUCUUCGGGGGUAGAGCACUGUUUCGGCUAGGGGGUCAUCCCGACUUACCAACCCGAUGCAAACUACGAAUACCGAAGAAUGUUAUCACGGGAGACACACGGCGGGUGCUAACGUCCGUCGUGAAGAGGGAAACAACCCAGACCGCCAGCUAAGGUCCCAAAGUCAUGGUUAAGUGGGAAACGAUGUGGGAAGGCACAGACAGCCAGGAUGUUGGCUUAGAAGCAGCCAUCAUUUAAAGAAAGCGUAAUAGCUCACUGGUCGAGUCGGCCUGCGCGGAAGAUGUAACGGGGCUAAACCAUGCACCGAAGCUGCGGCAGCGACACUAUGUGUUGUUGGGUAGGGGAGCGUUCUGUAAGCCUGCGAAGGUGACCUGUGAGGCAUGCUGGAGGUAUCAGAAGUGCGAAUGCUGACAUAAGUAACGAUAAAGCGGGUGAAAAGCCCGCUCGCCGGAAGACCAAGGGUUCCUGUCCAACGUUAAUCGGGGCAGGGUGAGUCGACCCCUAAGGCGAGGCCGAAAGGCGUAGUCGAUGGGAAACAGGUUAAUAUUCCUGUACUUGGUGUUACUGCGAAGGGGGGACGGAGAAGGCUAUGUUAGCCGGGCGACGGUUGUCCCGGUUUAAGCAUGUAGGCUGAUUAUCCAGGCAAAUCCGGAUAAUCAAGGCUGAGGUGUGAUGACGAGGCACUACGGUGCUGAAGUAACAAAUGCCCUGCUUCCAGGAAAAGCCUCUAAGCAUCAGGUAACAUCAAAUCGUACCCCAAACCGACACAGGUGGUCAGGUAGAGAAUACCAAGGCGCUUGAGAGAACUCGGGUGAAGGAACUAGGCAAAAUGGUGCCGUAACUUCGGGAGAAGGCACGCUGGUGUGUAGGUGAAGCCCCUGCGGGUGGAGCUGAGACCAGUCGAAGAUACCAGCUGGCUGCAACUGUUUAUUAAAAACACAGCACUGUGCAAACACGAAAGUGGACGUAUACGGUGUGACGCCUGCCCGGUGCCGGAAGGUUAAUUGAUGGGGUUAUCCGUAAGGAGAAGCUCUUGAUCGAAGCCCCGGUAAACGGCGGCCGUAACUAUAACGGUCCUAAGGUAGCGAAAUUCCUUGUCGGGUAAGUUCCGACCUGCACGAAUGGCGUAAUGAUGGCCAGGCUGUCUCCACCCGAGACUCAGUGAAAUUGAACUCGCUGUGAAGAUGCAGUGUACCCGCGGCAAGACGGAAAGACCCCGUGAACCUUUACUAUAGCUUGACACUGAACAUUGAGCCUUGAUGUGUAGGAUAGGUGGGAGGCUUUGAAGCGUGGACGCCAGUCUGCGUGGAGCCAACCUUGAAAUACCACCCUUUAAUGUUUGAUGUUCUAACGUUGGCCCCUGACCGGGGUUGCGGACAGUGUCUGGUGGGUAGUUUGACUGGGGCGGUCUCCUCCCAAAGCGUAACGGAGGAGCACGAAGGUUAGCUAAUCCUGGUCGGACAUCAGGAGGUUAGUGCAAUGGCAUAAGCUAGCUUGACUGCGAGCGUGACGGCGCGAGCAGGUGCGAAAGCAGGUCAUAGUGAUCCGGUGGUUCUGAAUGGAAGGGCCAUCGCUCAACGGAUAAAAGGUACUCCGGGGAUAACAGGCUGAUACCGCCCAAGAGUUCAUAUCGACGGCGGUGUUUGGCACCUCGAUGUCGGCUCAUCACAUCCUGGGGCUGAAGUAGGUCCCAAGGGUAUGGCUGUUCGCCAUUUAAAGUGGUACGCGAGCUGGGUUUAGAACGUCGUGAGACAGUUCGGUCCCUAUCUGCCGUGGGCGCUGGAGAAUUGAGGGGGGCUGCUCCUAGUACGAGAGGACCGGAGUGGACGCAUCACUGGUGUUCGGGUUGUCAUGCCAAUGGCACUGCCCGGUAGCUAAAUGCGGAAGAGAUAAGUGCUGAAAGCAUCUAAGCACGAAACUUGCCCCGAGAUGAGUUCUCCCUGAGACUUUAAGUCUCCUGAAGGAACGUUGAAGACGACGACGUUGAUAGGCCGGGUGUGUAAGCGCAGCGAUGCGUUGAGCUAACCGGUACUAAUGAACCGUGAGGCUUAACCUU